GCCUGGAUAGCUCAGCUGGUUAGAGCGCUGUGCUGGUAACACCAAGAUUGCAGGUUCAAUGCCCGUAUGGGACA